rfam:Enterococcus faecium DO plasmid 3, complete sequence.
CUUUUGCUUUUUUGCCCUGGCAAAAAUGACUGAAUCGGCUGACUUGGCGGAGGAACGCAGCCAACCAAAGCAACUGCGACUGGCGAAGGCACGUAGCCAUCAAGCGGUUAGAUUCUGUCACUAGGCAAAAG